rnacentral:rRNA from 1 species
UAAUACUGACACUGAGGCUCGAAAGCGUGGGUAGCAAACAGGAUUAGAUACCCUGGUAGUCCACGCCGUAAACGAUGUCUACUAGUCGUUGGGUCCCUUGAGGACUUAGUGACGCAGCUAACGCAAUAAGUAGACCGCCUGGGGAGUACGGCCGCAAGGUUAAAACUCAAAUGAAUUGACGGGGGCCCGCACAAGCGGUGGAGCAUGUGGUUUAAUUCGAUGCAACGCGAAGAACCUUACCUGGUCUUGACAUAUCUAGAAUCCUGCAGAGAUGCGGGAGUGCCUUCGGGAAUUAGAAUACAGGUGCUGCAUGGCUGUCGUCAGCUCGUGUCGUGAGAUGUUGGGUUAAGUCCCGCAACGAGCGCAACCCUUGUCCUUAGUUACCAGCGGGUUAAGCCGGGAACUCUAAGGAUACUGCCAGUGACAAACUGGAGGAAGGCGGGGACGACGUCAAGUCAUCAUGGCCCUUACGACCAGGGCUACACACGUGCUACAAUGGUAGGUACAGAGGGCAGCUACACAGCGAUGUGAUGCGAAUCUCAAAAAGCCUAUCGUAGUCCAGAUUGGAGUCUGCAACUCGACUCCAUGAAGUAGGAAUCGCUAGUAAUCGCGGAUCAGAAUGCCGCGGUGAAUACGUUCCCGGGCCUUGUACACACCGCCCGUCACACCAUGGGAGUUGAUUGCACCAGAAGUGGAUAGCUUAACCUUCGGGGGAGCGUUCACCACGGUGUGGUUGAUGACUGGGGUGAAGUCGUAACAAGGUAGCCGUA